rnacentral:rRNA from 1 species
AACGAACGCUGGCGGCAGGCUUAACACAUGCAAGUCGAACGCCCCGCAAGGGGAGUGGCAGACGGGUGAGUAACGCGUGGGAACAUACCCUUUCCUGCGGAAUAGCUCUGGGAAACUGGAAUUAAUACCGCAUACGCCCUACGGGGGAAAGAUUUAUCGGGGAAGGAUUGGCCCGCGUUGGAUUAGCUAGUUGGUGGGGUAAAGGCCUACCAAGGCGACGAUCCAUAGCUGGUCUGAGAGGAUGAUCAGCCACAUUGGGACUGAGACACGGCCCAAACUCCUACGGGAGGCAGCAGUGGGGAAUAUUGGACAAUGGGCGCAAGCCUGAUCCAGCCAUGCCGCGUGAGUGAUGAAGGCCUUAGGGUUGUAAAGCUCUUUCACCGAUGAAGAUAAUGACGGUAGUCGGAGAAGAAGCCCCGGCUAACUUCGUGCCAGCAGCCGCGGUAAAAC